UGAGGAAUAUUGGUCAAUGGGCGGGAAGCCUGAACCAGCCAAGUCGCGUGAGGGAAGAAGGCCCUGCGGGUCGCAGACCUCUUUGGACGGGGGAGCAAGGCCGCCGACGUGUCGGCGGAAGGAGAGUACCCGUAGAACAAGCAUCGGCUAACUCCGUGCC
rnacentral:rRNA from 1 species